UUUACUGACUCUGGAAGAGAGAGUGAGAUUGACAACUUUCUGCAGCUCUGCCUCUCUUAAAUCCAAUUAAUAUGCAGGUCAAGAUAUCAGUCAUGUCAUUAAUCCUCUUCAAAUGAAGAAUGAGCAAUAGCAACAACUACACAGGUUACAGAAUACAAUUUAAAUGUUCUCCAGAGAUCAUCACCUUCAACACUCUUCCCAAAGUCUCCCAUCAACCCGCCUUGGACUUGGGACUGGAGCUCCUGGUAGGAUUCCUGAUUGCCUCCUGAUACUGAGACGCCAGAGUGCAUGGGAGUCCAUUACAAGUGGAUCUCCCUGCUGAUACCAAGAGUUCUGUUCAGCAUCCAGAGUUGAAUGAGGGAGAAGAGGUUUUCCUAAGUGAAAAACUGAGCUUUCUCACAGCGAGCAGACCUGGAGGAUAGAAACUUGAUGAGCAGGGUAAGGGAGCAGUUUAAGCAAAUUGUUAAUAAGACUGGAUCUGAAUAGUAAAGCAAGUCUAGUGGAAUGGAGCCCAUAAGAUUAAUAGGAAAAGCAGAAGCUCCCAAGAGAACUGUACAUCAUUUCCCUUCCAGGACAUAUUCAGAUAGCUCUCUCCAUCAUAAAUCUAUUGGAAUUGCUUUGAAUCCCCUCUAUGUUGAAAAGAGCCAAAUCCAUCACAUCGAUCAUCACAUAGUCUUGCAAUUAUGGACACAGUUUUAAAGAAGAAAAUAAUUCUUUAAACAUUGGAAUUGGGCAAGGGGAAGCCAGUGAAGUAUAAGAGACCAAGAAAUAACAAAAUAUAAAGAAUGAAAACACAAAACAAAAUCUGAAAUAUCUUCUAAGAAAUAUAACAGCUCUGGAAAACAGAUAAGAGAAAAUAUGUGAAUUGGACUAACUGAAACCCGUGACUCCCCCCCAAAAAAAACAAACAAACAAACAAACAAAAAAAACAAACAACACAAUACCCUGACAAAAAUAAUGCAAAAUGAUCCUAGAAAAUUGUCCUGGAGUGAUAGAACAUGAGAGGAAAAUGGAACUACAAAAAAUUCCACUGAUCAGCACCUCAAAUUCGGAAACCCUUAGGUCAAAUAGAAAAUGUUUCAAGAAACAACAAUAACAAAUAACUAUGCUGGAGCUACACUUAGAAUUGUACAGAACUUAUCCACAGUGACAAUAAAAGACCACUGUGAUCAAAAAUAUCAUCUCCAGCAAAGCUAUGAUUUUAAAAAAAAUGGACAUUCAACAAAGUUGCAGAUUUUCAGGACUUUCUUUCAACCAGACUCAAUAAAAACUCAGUAAGAACAUUUAACAUAUAACAACACAUAUUAAAGAUUACCUUCAAGGAACUUAACAUGGACAAA